rnacentral:RNase_P_RNA from 1 species
UUUCGGAUAAUCGCGGAGUAUAAAUAUAUUCUGAGGAAAGUCCAUGCUCGCACAAGCUGCGAUGCUUGUAGUGUUCGUGCUUAGCGAAACAAUAAGCUAAGGUAUAGUUCAUCAACUAUAACGGCAGAAAAAAUAGCUAAGGAGUAUUCUAUGCUAAAGUAUUCUUGAAAGUGCCACAGUGACGAAGCAGUUAAAGAAAUUUAACUGGUGGAACGCGGUAAACCCCUCGAGCGAGCAACCCAAACAAUGGUAGGGGCGCCUUUUGAACGGAAAUGAACGGGUCAAAGGGGCAAUCAAAUUGCAGAUAGAUGAUUAUCCAAAUCUUUUUACCCUGGGGAAGAUUGGACAAAACAUGGCUUAUAG